rnacentral:sRNA from 15 species
GGUUUUAACCCAGUUAACCAAGGUUAGCAUGGAAUUCGAUCAUUCGCAAGAAUGUGUCGAAACACAAAAUUUUGGACAAGCUUCCUCGGGGUAUCCGUGGGAGCAAA